UCCACGGGAGGCAGCAGUGGGGAAUAUUGGACAAUGGGGGGAACCCUGAUCCAGCCAUGCCGCGUGUGUGAAGAAGGCCCUCGGGUUGUAAAGCACUUUCAGCGAGGAAGAACGCCUAGCGGUUAAUACCCGCUAGGAAAGACAUCACUCGCAGAAGAAGCACCGGCUAACUCCGUGCCAGCAGCCGCGGUAAUACGGAGGGUGCAAGCGUUAAUCGGAAUUACUGGGCGUAAAGCGCGCGUAGGUGGCUUGAUAAGCCGGUUGUGAAAGCCCCGGGCUCAACCUGGGAACGGCAUCCGGAACUGUCAAGCUAGAGUGCAGGAGAGGAAGGUAGAAUUCCCGGUGUAGCGGUGAAAUGCGUAGAGAUCGGGAGGAAUACCAGUGGCGAAGGCGGCUUUCUGGACUGACACUGACACUGAGGUGCGAAAGCGUGGGUAGCAAACAGGAUUAGAUACCCUGGUAGUCCACGCCGUAAACGAUGUCGACCAGCCGUUGGGUGCCUAGCGCACUUUGUGGCGAAGUUAACGCGAUAAGUCGACCGCCUGGGGAGUACGGCCGCAAGGUUAAAACUCAAAUGAAUUGACGG
rnacentral:rRNA from 1 species